UUUACCAAACAGCGGAUGCGUGAAGGACACCCAAUAAAAUCGACCGACGCCGCCUCGCUGUGCGCCCGUGGAGACUAAUCGCUGGUGAGGCGCGUCCAAGAUCGAGAUCUCUCGAGAACAGAUGGCUGCUCAUAAAAUUGCACACGCGACCCUGAAAGGUCCUAGUGUUGUCAAGGAGAUCUGCAUUGGCCUUACUUUGGGACUAUUUGCUGGUGGGCUGUGGAAGAUGCACCACUGGAAUGAGCAGAGGAAAACAAGAGCUUUCUAUGACAUGCUGGAGAAGGGUGAGAUCAGUGUUGUUGUUGCUGAAGAAUAGCCAUCUUUUAUAUAACUCCUUUGGUGUGAACAGAGACCAGCAUUCUGUGUGGAAGCUGAAGAACAUGUUCAAGUCUAAUUUGCACUUUUUUACUGCUGAAUUUGAAUAAAUUUGGGUAAUUGUUGAUAACACCAUAGUAAUGCUAUGGACUUCAAUUUCUGUUUAUAUAAUGUCUGUUGAACAGCAUGGAGAUGAUCUCUUUCCUUUUUUU